AAUGAACGCUGGCGGCAUGCCUAACACAUGCAAGUCGAACGAGACCUUCGGGUCUAGUGGCGCCCGGGUGCGUAACGCGUGGGAACCUGCCCUUAGGUUCGGCAUAACUCUCCGACAGGGGUGCUAAUACCGGAUAAUGUCUACGGACCAAAGAUUUAUCGCCUUUGGAGGGGCCCGCGUUGGAUUAGCUUGUUGCUAGGGUAAAAGCCUACGACGGCGACGAUCCAUAGCUGGUCAGAGAGAAUGAUCAGCCACACUGGGACUGAGACCCGGCCGAGACUCCUACGGGAGGCAGCAGAGGGGGAUAGAGGACAAUGGGCGAAAGGCUGAUCCAGCAAUGCCGCGUGAGUGAUGAAGGCCUGAAAGUUGUAAAGCUCUUUUACCCGGGAUGAUAAUGACAGUACCGGGAGAAUAAGCUCCGGCUAACUCCGUG
rnacentral:rRNA from 1 species